UAAACUCAUCCCAAACAGAUCAUUUCUGUGAGAAAAGCAUCACAAAGCUCCCUGCAACUCACAGCUUCACCUGUGGUUUCCAGCUGCAGCAAACCCAGCAUUGCGUGUCCCUGCACUCACUGCAUUUCCUGUGGUGCUGCAGGAGUGACUGAAAACGACAACGGGCACAGGCUGAGCCAUAUAUUUGGGAACUGGGGAAUCCUGCUGGCAAACCUGGGAAUGGAUUUAUUUAUUUUCCCACAUAUCAGGUCAGUCACAAGCAUUUCAAGCUUUUUUACAUCCUUACUGUGAAAAUGAAAAAACAAAACCGAAAACCUCUGAAAUAAUAUUCUACAGAAUAUUCUGUCUCCUUUUGGGUGGCAGGAAAAGCUAUUUCAGGGAGGAAGAAGCAGUCCAAAUGGCUGCUGCUUUCUCAAGACAAAAGCGAUUUUUUUCUGCUUUACAUUUUCUGCUGCCUGUUCCCAUUAUUUCUCACCCUCCCAGUGCCAGGGCGACACCACUCAGCCCUAUUGGGUCAUGUCGGGAAGUGGCCGUGGCACUGCGGACAAGAUGCCAGGCUCACUUGUGGGUCAGGAAUCUGCUGCGGAGAAGAUGCCAGGCUUGUUUGCGGGUCAGGAAUCCACUGUGGAGAAGAUGCCAGGCUUGCUUGUGGGUCAGGAAUCCACUGUGGAGAAGAUGCCAGGCUCGCUUGUGGGUCAGGAAUCCGCUGCGGAGAAGAUGCCAGGCUCGUUUGCGGGUCAGGAAUCCACUGUGGAGAAAAUGCCAGGCUUGCUUGUGGGUCAGGAAUCCGCUGUGGAGAAGAUGCCAGGCUCGCUUGCGGGUCAGGAAUCCACUGUGGAGAAGAUGCCAGGCUCGCUUGCGGGUCAGGAAUCCGCCGUCCCCCCACGCUGCUCCCCCUGCUCGAUUGGGAUUAAGCCGCUUGGGGCUGCCGCUGACCCCGAGCGCAGGGGUCACCUCGGUGCUGCCCCGCGGUCCCCACGGGCAGCUCUGCUCGGCGGCGUUUGCGCCGUGGCGUGACCCUGCUGCUGCCACCAGCGCUCCCGGCAGCCCUUUCAUCCCCCGCGCUUGGCUGGGCCUGAGCCGAGCUGGCAGCCCCGUGGGGAAGGGCUGGAGGGGGAGCCAGCCCUGGCAGCACCGGGUGAUGCCAAGCGUGAUGAAUCGGGUCACCCUCCCAGUGGGGCCGGCCCGGAGCGAGCACGGCUCCGGGAGACAGCGUGGCAGCCGCGGCC
rnacentral:lncRNA from 1 species